rnacentral:rRNA from 1 species
GUGAGGAAUAUUGGUCAAUGGGCGAGAGCCUGAACCAGCCAAAUCGCGUGAAGGAUGAAGGUAUUAUGUAUUGUAAACUUCUUUUAUCGGGGAAUAAAGUGCGGGACGUGUCCCGUUUUGUAUGUACCCGAAGAAUAAGGAUCGGCUAACUCCGUGCCAGCAGCCGCGGUAAUACGGAGGAUCCAAGCGUUAUCCGGAUUUAUUGGGUUUAAAGGGUGCGUAGGCGGACUGUCAAGUCAGCGGUGAAAGUCCAUGGCUCAACCAUGGAAUUGCCGUUGAAACUGUCGGUCUUGAGUGUAGAUGAGGUAGGCGGAAUUCGUAGUGUAGCGGUGAAAUGCUUAGAUAUUACGAAGAACUCCAAUUGCGUAGGCAGCUUACCAGGCUACAACUGACGCUGAGGCACGAAGGUGUGGGGAUCAAACAGGAUUAGAAACCCGUGUAGUCC